rnacentral:rRNA from 1 species
UGCAGAAUCCCGUGAACCAUCGAGUCUUUGAACGCAAGUUGCGCCCGACGCCUUCGGGCUGAGGGCACGCCUGCCUGGGCGUCACGCAUCGCGUCGCCCCCUACACCAAUUUGGUGCGGGGGCGGAUAAUGGCAUCCCGUUAGCUCGGUUUGCCCAAAAAGGAUCCCUCAUCGACGGAUGUCACAACCAGUGGUGGUUGAAAGAUCAUUGGUGCCGUUGUGCUUCACUCCGUCGCAUGCUUGGGCAUCGUUACAAAACAAUGGUGCUAACGCGCCUUCGACCGCGACCCCAGGUCAGACGGGACUACCCGCUGAGUUUAAGCAUAUCAAUAAGCGGUGGAGAAGAAACUUACAAGGAUUCCCCUAGUAACGGCGAGCGAACCGGGAAUAGCCCAACUUGAGAAUCGGGCGGCCACGCCGUCCGA